GAGUUUGAUCAUGGCUCAGAUUGAACGCUGGCGGCAGGCUUAACACAUGCAAGUCGAGCGGGGGAGAUUGCUUCGGUAAUUGACCUAGCGGCGGACGGGUGAGUAAUACUUAGGAAUCUGCCUAUUAAUGGGGGGACAACAUCUCGAAAGGGAUGCUAAUACCGCAUACGCCUACGGGGAAAGCAGGGAGUCACUUGUGACCUUGCGUUAAUAGAUGAGCCUAAGUCGGAUUAGCUAGUUGGUGGGGUAAAGGCCUACCAAGGCGACGAUCUGUAGCGGGUCUGAGAGGAUGAUCCGCCACACUGGGACUGAGACACGGCCCAGACUCCUACGGGAGGCAGCAGUGGGGAAUAUUGGACAAUGGGGGGAACCCGUGAUCCAGCCAUGCCGCGUGUGUG
rnacentral:rRNA from 1 species